UACAGAGGGUGCAAGCGUUAUUCGGAGUUACUGGGCGUAAAGAGCACGUAGGCGGUUUGACAAGUCCGAUGUGAAAUCCCUGGACUCAAUUCAGGAAGUGCAUUGGAUACUGUCAGACUAGAGUAUGGGAGAGGAGAGCGGAAUUCCUGGUGUAGAGGUGAAAUUCGUAGAUAGCAGGAGGAACAACAGAGGCGAAGGCGGCUCUCUGGACCAUCAAUGACGCUGAGGUGCGAAAGCGUGGGGAGCAAAUAGG
rnacentral:rRNA from 1 species